UGGGGAAUAUUGCACAAUGGGCGCAAGCCUGAUGCAGCCAUGCCGCGUGUGUGAAGAAGGCUUUCGGGUUGUAAAGCACUUUCAGCGGGGAGGAAGGCGUUAAGGUUAAUAACCUUGGCGAUUGACGUUACCCGCAGAAGAAGCACCGGCUAACUCCGUGCCAGCAGCCGCGGUAAUACGGAGGGUGCAAGCGUUAAUCGGAAUUACUGGGCGUAAAGCGCACGCAGGCGGUCUGUCAAGUCGGAUGUGAAAUCCCCGGGCUCAACCUGGGAACUGCGUUCGGAACUGGCAGGCUAGAGUCUUGUAGAGGGGGGUAGAAUUCCAGGUGUAGCGGUGAAAUGCGUAGAGAUCUGGGGGAAUACCGGUGGCGAAGGCGGACCCCUGGACACAGACUGACGCUCAGGUGCGAAAGCGUGGGGGGCAAACAAG
rnacentral:rRNA from 1 species